GUGGGGUAAUGGCCUACCAAGGCAUCGACGGGUAGCUGGUCUGAGAGGAUGAUCAGCCACACUGGGACUGAGACACGGCCCAGACUCCUACGGGAGGCAGCAGUGGGGAAUAUUGCGCUAAUGCGCGAAAGCGUGACGCAGCGACGCCGCGUGGGGGAUGAAGGCCCUCGGGUCGUAAACCCCUUUCGCCAGGGACGAAGGGAAACUGACGGUACCUGGAGAAGAAGUCCCGGCUAACUACGUGCCAGCAGCCGCGGUAACACGUAGGGGACGAGCGUUGUCCGGAAUUAUUGGGCGUAAAGCGCGCGUAGGCGGUCGUGCAAGUCGGAUGUGAAAAUCCCGGGCUCAACCCGGGACCUGCACCCGAUACUGCUCGACUCGAGGUAGGUAGGGGAGAUCGGAAUUCCUGGUGUAGCGGUGAAAUGCGCAGAUAUCAGGAGGAACACCGGUGGCGAAGGCGGGUCUCUGGGCAGUAACUGACGCUGAGGAACGAAAGCGUGGGUAGCGAACAGGAUUAGAUACCCUGGUAGUCCACGCCGUAAACGGUGGGCGCUAGGUGUGGGUUCCUUCCACGGAAUCCGUGCCGUAGCUAACGCAUUAAGCG
rnacentral:rRNA from 1 species